UACAGAGGGUGCGAGCGUUAAUCGGAAUUACUGGGCGUAAAGCGCACGUAGGUGGCGACGUAAGUCGGGUGUGAAAGCCCCGGGCUCAACCUGGGAAUUGCAUUCGAGACUGCAUUGCUGGAGUACGGAAGAGGAAGGCGGAAUUCCCGGUGUAGCGGUGAAAUGCGUAGAUAUCGGGAGGAACAUCAGUGGCGAAGGCGGCCUUCUGGUCCAGUACUGACACUCAAGUGCGAAAGCGUGGGGAGCAAACAAG
rnacentral:rRNA from 1 species